rnacentral:lncRNA from 1 species
UUGAGAGUUGAGGUUUUCCACAAAGAAGUUCGACGAGAUUGCGAGCUUCGUGAUCGAGGAUUUCUAUGCGGCUUGUGGUAAUUUGUGAUGGAUUAGUUGGAGCACCCCUGGAGGGUUAAAUCUUUUCGGAAAGCCGUGCCUGCGGUUAUGUGGCAACGUGGAAACUUUGUUUAACACUGGUUCUAGAUAACUUGAAGUUAACUUAACUAAAACAUGCCAACUGUGUGCGUAACCGUGACUAUCUCUUUCGUGAGUUCCUUCUCCGAUCGAGGGCACGGUGGGGUUAUGUCUGACGUAAGUAGGUGUUCAGGAUCAUUCAUUUGAUCAUCAGUAGUUCGCGUCCGUUAUGCGUAGAUCAUCCCCCUCUUUAGUCUUGUACUCGUAGGAUAGCCACCAAAUACAUGCUUAGUCGCUUGUUGCAGCCUCACCACUUAACCUACCUCACUUAUUAAGCUUUGCUAGUCUUAAUACCUUUGGAAAUGAGAUUGCUGAGUCCCCUAUGGCUCAAAGAUUACUACACCACUAGUUGAAGGUACAUGUAAAGGUUACUUGACGCGAGCGCGUUGAUUGUUCAUUUGGAGUUGCUUCUUCUUCUUCUUCAUUGAUCUAGGAUGGGUUCCAGGCCGGCAGCCUAGGAUAGCAAGGAUGGACGUCGUUCUUCUUUUCUUGUUUGUUUUCGUCCAUAGUCGGACCCUGCUCUUCUUCGUGAUAUUUAUGUAUUGUAAUGAUAUGACUCUGAUGUAGCUUGUGGCGAGUGUAAGUCAAUUCUAUAUAUAUCUCUACUUUUCAGUACAUGUACUUGUAACGAUAUCCAUUCUUGCGAAACGACGAGAUGCGCUUCUAUCCCUGACGAGGCCCUCGUGCCAAAUUGAGGAUAGGGUCGCAUCUUGGGCGUGACAAGUUGGUAUAAGAGCAGUACCGACCUAGGAGCCCCCUUGAUUGAUCGAACUUGGCCGAGUCGAGUCUAGUCAAAACUAUUUUGAGUCGUAGUUAUAUCGGAGAGUAGGUUUCUUUUUUUUCUCCUCUUCUAUGCUCUUGUGAGGUUCAUGACUUAGGAAUUUUAAUUCUACCCCUCUUCUCACUCAAUUUUUUUAGGAUCACGCGGAUAUUUUUGGGAUCUAUAUGAUGUCGAUGUGACGGAGUUCUGUCUUGGUGCCUCCUGUCUGACUUGAUUUCUUCCGGGGAGUUGAGCUCUAGGGGAUUCUCGUGAACAUCGUUAUCAUUCAGAUUUCUUAGUAUCUCAGAACGAAGGAUGUUCGUAAUUGCUUCAAUACUAGUAGUGGCGAGAUAACCCCGAUGUCCCCGGUACUAGUCCGGAUUGUUCGGGAGUACUUCCAUACUUUGUAUCAUUGUGAUCACGAGGGUGUGUAGUAGAUGAAGGUCCGAGAUUCUGGUUAUGUGUUGACGGAUGUGAUACAUUGGAUGGGUUAGUAGUUGGGUGACAUAUUACUCCUUGUAUCCGUGUACCAGAUUGCAUGACCAGAAAUUUUGGGAAUUCUUAGAUGGGAAUUCGAGUAGUUACUUAUAGGACAAUCUUCCAACAAAUGCAUGAUGUUAGGUUGGGGCUCGACAUCUAGUGGAUUCGUUUGUUCACGCUCAUCUUACAAUGGUUCUUGUUGUGUCUUAAAGAGUCCUUGUAGCUUGCUACGACUCGGGGACGCUUCAUAUGUCGUGUGCAGUGCCUUGCACAUGACAGCUACUGUAAGGAUCGAGCCCGUGCGAUCCUGUCCACGAAAAUAUCGAACGGAAAUCUUUCUCAUGAGUUUGUUCUGGCUAAUUGCAAGCCGCAUCCUUUGUGUUGUUGAAUAUGGUAAUUCGAGUUGCUUCGAUGUCAAAUGGUGAUUUCAUAUCUUUCCAAGAGCGGUUCUCAUAUUUCUAUGGGAAUGCUAAUUAAUUCUUUUGCUCAAUCAAAGUGUGUUUUCAAUUCUUGUCAACCAGAGUCGUCAUAUGAAUUCUUUUCCAACCGGUGUGCUUCUCUCCAAGUGAAUUCAAUCCUGUCCAAUUUUGCAAGAUCAUUCUCUCAUUUUAGUCCGGAGUUCAUCUCAUCUGUCCCAAGUUCUCUUUGUUUUCCUGCCCUUCCACCCUUUUCUUCAGUGAUUAGUUUGUUAUCCUAGUGACUUCCUUUUCAUUGUUGCUUCCGCUAUCUUCUCUUCCGUGCCCUAUCCGGUGAUUCUUUCUGAAGAUUCUCAGGAGCUCCGUGUUCAUCUUUAUUCAUUCUUGUCAUCUUUUUCUGGUGAAUUCAAUUUGGUUGUCCGUGUCAUCUUACCCUAUUCAUCCUUGUAAUUCUUUCGUAUGUUGAAGUUUCUUAUCAACCUAUCUUGUUUAUUCACUUAUCUCUAUUCUAUCCGGAGCGUUGAAGUUAUAUCAGAAGUUCUUGUUUUCAAUUCUUUCAAUUAUUUCGAGGUGCUAACUGAUACGUCUCCAUCGUAUCUACUUUCCCAAACUCUUUUCCCCUUGUUUUGGACUCUAAUUUGCAUGAUUUGAAUGGAACUAACCUGGACUGACACUCUUUUCAGCAGAAUUGCCUUGGUGUUAUUUUUGUGUAGAAAUCAAAGUUCUCCAAACGUCCUGAAAAUUUACGGAGAGCAGUUUUGGAAAAUAAGAAAAAUAUCUGCGCCAAGUUCCACCUAAGGGGGUGGGCUAGUGGGCUACAAGCCCUGGCUCCGCCACCACCCCCUGGUGGCGGUGGACAGGCUUGUGGGACCCACACGGCUCUGCCGCCCCCAAUUCCAGCUCUAUAAGAUCCCUUUCGUCCCAGAAAAAAUAAAAAGAGAAGUUUUCGCUGCGUUUACGAUACGGAGGCGCCGCCACCACCUGUUCUUCAUCUAGUGGGCAGAUCUGGAGUCCGUCUUGGGCUCCGGAGAGGGGAAAUCGUCGCCAUCGUCAUCAUCAACCUUCUUCCCUUUCCAAUUCCAUGAAGCUCUUCGUCGUUCAUGAGUAAUCUAUUCGUAGGCUCGCUAGGCGGUGAUGAGUAGGAUGAGAUCUAUCAUGUAAUCGAGUUAGUUUUGAUGGGGAUUGAUCCCUAGUAUCCAGUAUGUUUUGAGAUUGAUGUUGCUACUACUUUGCCAUGCAUAAUGCUUGUCACUAGGGCCUGAGUGCCAUGAUUUCAGAUAUGAAAUUAUUAUGUUGUCACCAAUAUAUGUGUGUUUUAGAUCCGAUUUUGCAAGUUGUAGUUACCUACUAUGUGUUAUGAUCCGGUAACCUCGGAGUGACAAUAACCGGAACCACUCCCGAUGAUGACCAUAGUUUGAGGAGUUCAUGUGUUCACCAAGUGCUAAUGCGUUGGUACGGUUCUUUAUUAAAAGGAGAACCUUAAUAUCCCGUAGUUUCCUUUUGGACUCCGCUGCCACGGGAGGGAUGGACAAUAGAUGUCAUGCAAGUUCUUUUCCCUAAGCACGUAUGACGACACACGAAAUGCAUGCCUACAUCACAUUGACGAACGGGAGCUAGCCACAUAUCUCUCUGUGUUAUAACUGUUGCUUGAUGAAUAUCAUCCAAACAAAUCACCGACCCAUUGCCUACAAGUUUGUCCUACUGCUGCUGUUACUUGUCUUGCUCUGCUGCUGUUACUUGUCUUGCUCUGCUGCUACUGUUGCUACUACUGUUGCUUGCUACUGUUGCUACUUGCUACUGCUGUCACUACUGUUGUUCCUUGGCGCUUCUAUUACUCGUUACACUGUUGCUACCUACUACAAUCUUGACUCGCUCGACGUUGAUGGGAAAAGACAAUUUCCGUCAACGGGCAACUUGGCGCCAUUGAUACAAUCGUUAGGAAUAGUCUGCCGUCAANNNNNNNNNNGAUCAUUUCUGACACCGUUGUUAUCAUACUACUUUGCUGCUGACUUUUUGCUUGCAGAUACUAAUAUUUCAGGUGUGGUUGAAUCUGACAUAUUCAGCUGCUAAUACUCGAGAGUAUUCUCUCACCUCCUGUUUGGCGAUCAACAAAUUUGGGUCGAAUAUUCUACCCUCGAAAACUGCUGCGAUCCCUCGCGCUGGUGGGCCGUCAACAACAUUCUUCGAGUUUCGAUUGCCGGAGAGUGCUAGCAGCAUUCUUCUGGUGCCGUUGCAGGGGAGGGUCUGCUGUCACGGAAUCAUUUAGGUAAAGAAACAAUUACGUUAGUUUAACGAGUGUGGAAAAGUGGUGGUAGGAGUUGCGGAAUUGUCCCUAAGCAAUUGACUAUGUUACUAGACCGAUAGCAAGUUUUAUGUGGAAGAGGCCACUGCUAGCAUGUCAUCCCUUACUUGGAAUUCUAUGCACUUAUGAUUGGAACUAUUAGCAAGCAUCCACAACUACUAACGUUCGUUAAGGUAAAACCCAACCAUAGCAAUAAUAUAUAUUGGUCCCCCUUCAAUCCCGUAUGCAUCAAUUUCUAUGCUAGGCUGAAUCUUGUGUCAUCCUUGCCCUCCAAUACAUAGUCCUAUCAACAUAGUACUAACCCUAUGGUGUGAUCCACGCGCACGCUCAUAUGAUGGACACCAAAGGACAACAACAUAACCACAAGCAAAUUAAACCAAUCAUAGCAAUUNNNNNNNNNNNNNNNNNNNNNNNNNNNNNNNNNNNNNNNNNNNNNNNNNNNNNNNNNNNNNNNNNNNNNNNNNNNNNNNNNNNNNNNNNNNNNNNNNNNNUAGACGUAGCAUGUUGAUCGUGUCAUUUUGUUGCUACUGUUUUCUGCGUGUCAAGUAUUUGUUCCUAUGACCAUGAGAUCAUAUAACUCACGGACACCGGAGGAAUGCUUUAUGUGUAUCAAACGUCGCAACGUAACUGGGUGACUAUAAAGAUGCUCUACAGGUAUCUCUGAAGGUGUUAGUUGAGUUAGUAUGGAUCGAGACUGGGAUUUGUCACUCCGUGUGACGGAGAGGUAUCUCGGGGCCCAGUCAGUAAUACAACAUCACACACAAGCCUUGCAAGCAAUGUGACUUAGUGUAAGUUGCGGGAUCUUGUAUUACGGAACGAGUAAAGAUACUUGCCGGUAAACGAGAUUGAAAUAGGUAUGCGGAUACUGACGAUCGAAUCUCGGGCAAGUAACAUACCGAAGGACAAAGGGAAUGACAUACAGGAUUAUAUGAAUCCUUGGCACUGAGGUUCAAACGAUAAGAUCUUCGUAGAAUAUGUGGGAUACACCAUGGGUAUCUAGACCCCGCUGAUGGUUAUUGGCCGGNNNNNNNNNNNNNNNNNNNNNNNNNNNNNNNNNNNNNNNNNNNNNNNNNNNNNNNNNNNNNNNNNNNNNNNNNNNNNNNNNNNNNNNNNNNNNNNNNNNNUUUGCGUGUUCUUUAUUAUCUUGCAAACCUAUCCUAUCACACCUACAAAGUACUUCUAGUUUCAUACUUGUUCUAGGUAAAGCGAACGUAAAGUGUCCGUAGAGUUGUAUCGGUGGUCGAUAGAACUUGAGGGGAUAUUUGUCCUACCUUUAGCUCCUCAUUGGGUUCGACACUCUUACUUAUCGAGAAAGGCUACAAUUGAUCCUCUAUACUUGUGGGUUAUCAAGACCUUUUUCUGGCGCCGUUGCCGGGGAGCAGUAGCGUGGGGUGAAUAUUCUCGUGUGUGCUUGUUUGCUUUAUCACUAAGUAGAUUUAUUUGUUGUUCUAUGUUGUUCUCUAUCUUUAGUUAUGGAUAUGGAACACGAAAUACCAAAAAAAUAGGUGUACUUGUUAUUUUUGGAGAUGGGGAACCUCCUAAAACCCUCGAUGCUCGUUAUGUGGAAAAUAUUAUGCACUUCUUUAAUAAUCCUGAAAAAACCCCAUUCAGUUAUAUAAUGGGAGACACGUUGGAUCAACGUGAAUACUUUAGGGAUUAUCGCUUGACUCAAAAAUGGUAACUAUUAUGGGAUCAUAUUCAUAUGUUGAAAUGGUAUGCUUGGGAUCUAGGCUUGAGAUAUGAUAUUACUUGUUGCUCUAGGAUGAAGGCUAAACACCUUCCCUUUUCUUGUAAAUUUAAUGCUAAUGAAACCUUCGCUUCUUAUGCUAAUGGUAUAUAUGAUUACUAUGAUGUGGAACAAAUAGAAGAGUUUGUUGCUUUUAUGGGUGCUUAUGAAAUUGAAGCUCUGUUUAAAAAGUGUGCUGAUAAUGAUGAUGUUGUUUACCGAUCUGAAAAUUUGGUUAUGCUUCGUUAUUGUUAUACUAAUUAUGAAUAUAAUUCCCAUAUUUCUUGAUUUAUGGAUAAAUUCUCCGCUGCCCAAGAAGAGACUGAUAUUUUGCAGGAAACUAUGGAAGAAGAAAAUGCUGAAACUGUGAGCUCAUUAGAUGAAAAAGAUGACGAGUGUUAGAGCAUAUAUCUCCAUAUGUGGUUUUGGUAAUUAAUGACAAUUNNNNNNNNNNNNNNNNNNNNNNNNNNNNNNNNNNNNNNNNNNNNNNNNNNNNNNNNNNNNNNNNNNNNNNNNNNNNNNNNNNNNNNNNNNNNNNNNNNNNAGAGCUCGUAUGCGAAAGUUAUGGCUGUUUCUGUGGCGAGCGGUAGUACCGCUGGACCUAGCGGUAGUACCGCUAGAGUUGGCGGUAGUACCGCUGGCCCUAGAGGUAGUACCGCUAGAGCUGGCGGUAGUACCGCUGUCCAAGCGGUAGUACCGCCCCUGGCCAGCGGUAGUACCACUCCAAGUUUUUAGUACCGUCAUCUUUGCCGUUGUACUGCGUCGGACAUUUUUGUGAAGACUUUCUUGGCGGUGGUAGUGCCUUUGCACUACCAGGGGCCCAGCGGUAGUACCGCUGCAACCAGCGGUAGUACCGCUAGCCGGCGGUAUUACCGCCCUUGGUCAGCGGUAGUACCGCUGGAAUGUCAGCGGUAGUACCGCUGGAGCCAGCGGUAGUAUCGCUGGGCUCGGGCUGUAAGUGGGGGUAACGGUCUGAUUCCUUCCCCCACUAUAUAAAGGGGGUCUUGUUCCCCCUUGGUCUUAUCUAUCCGUUGAGCUCUUGUUCUACCUCCAUUGUUGACAUUCUUAGAGCUUGCUUACUCUCAAUCCCUCCAAUGAUUCUUGCUUGUUCUUGAGGGAAAAGAGAGAGGAGAUCUAGAUCUACAUCUCCACCAAUCACUUUCUCCUUCAUGUGAGGGGAACCCCUUGGAUCUAGAUCUUGGAGUUCUUUGUGAGCUCCUUGUUCUUCCUCUCAUAUUUCUCNNNNNNNNNNNNNNNNNNNNNNNNNNNNNNNNNNNNNNNNNNNNNNNNNNNNNNNNNNNNNNNNNNNNNNNNNNNNNNNNNNNNNNNNNNNNNNNNNNNNCGACCUUGGAGUGGUUCCAAGCGCGUCGGGUCCAAUGACGCUCUUCUGUGAUAACACUGGGGCCAUUGCCAUAGCCAAGGAUCCCAGGUUUCACCGGAAGACGAAGCACAUCAAACGCCCCUACAACUCCAUCCAGGACCAUGUCCAGAGUGGAGUAAUAGAGAUUUGUAAAGUACACACGGAUCUGAAUGUUGCAGACCCGUUGACUAAACCUCUUCCACGAGCAAAACAUGAUAAACACCAUAAUGCUAUGCGUUUUCGAUACAUCACAAUGUAACUAGAUUAUUGACUCUAGUGCAAGUGGGAGACUAUUGGAAAUAUGCCCUAGAGGCAAUAAUAAAAUGGUUAUUAUCAUAUUUCCUUGUUCAUGAUAAUUGUCCAUUGUUCAUGCUAUAAUUGUAUUGACAGGAAACAGUAAUACAUGUGUGAAUAAAUAGAUCACAAUGUGUCCCUAGCAAGCCUCUAGUUGGCUAGCUCGUUAGUCAAUAGAUGAUCAUGGUUUCCUGGUAAUGGGCAUUAGAUGUCAUUGAUAACGGGAUCACAUCAUUGGGGGAAUGAUGUGAUGGACAAGACCCAAUCAUAAGCAUAUCACUAGAUCGUAUUGUUCGUAUGCUAAAGCUUUUCUAAUGUCAAGUGUNNNNNNNNNNUCGGAUACCGUAGGAGUGCUUUGGGUGUAUCAAACGUCACAACGUAACUCGGUGACUAUAAAGGUGCACUACGGGUACCUCUGAAAGUGUCUGUUGGGUUGGUAUGAAUCGAGAUCGGGAUUUGUCACUCCGCGUGACGGAGAGGUAUCUCUGGGCCCANNNNNNNNNNCAUGGGCAUUAGAUGUCAUUGAUAAGGGGAUCACAUCAUUGGGAGAAUGAUGUGAUGGACAAGACCCAAUCCUAAGCAUAGCACUAGAUCGUAUUGUUCGUAUGCUAAAGCUUUUCUAAUGUCAAGUGUCUUUUCCUUCGACCGUGAGAUUGUGCAACUCCCGGAUACUGUAGGAGUGCUUUGGGUGUAUCAAAUGUCACAACGUAACUCGGUGACAAUAAAGGUGCACUACGGGUACCUCUGAAAGUGUCUGUUGGGUUGGUAUNNNNNNNNNNNNNNNNNNNNNNNNNNNNNNNNNNNNNNNNNNNNNNNNNNNNNNNNNNNNNNNNNNNNNNNGAUGACGUGCUACGGAAUGAGUAAAGAGACUUACCGGUAACGAGAUUGAACAAGGUAUAGGUAUACCGACGAUCGAAUCUNNNNNNNNNNNNNNNNNNNNNNNNNNNNNNNNNNNNNNNNNNNNNNNNNNNNNNNNNNNNNNNNNNNNNNNNNNNNNNNNNNNNNNNNNNNNNNNNNNNNNNNNNNNNNNNNNNNNNNNNNNNNNNNNNNNNNNNNNNNNNNNNNNNNNNNNNNNNNNNNNNNNNNNGUUCAUCUGAUGAGAUCAUCAUGGAACAAGUGGGAUACACCAUGGGUAUCUAGACCCCGCUGAUGGUUAUUGGCCGGAGAGGUGUCUCGGUCAUGUCUACGUGUCUCCAGAACCCGUAAGGUCUACACACUUAAGGUUUGAUGACGCUAGGGUUAUAGGGAAUUGUUAUACGAGGUUACCGAAAGUUCUUCGGAGUCCCAAAUGAGAUCCCGGACGUCACGAGGAGCUUCGAAAUGGUCCGGAGGUAAAGAUUGAUAUAUAAGAUGGAUGGUUUAGGACACCGGAAAUGUUUCGGGCGUCACCGGUAAUGUACCGGGACCACCGAACCACCGGUAAUGGUCCCCGGGAUCUACCCGGAGGGGCCACAAGCCCCAAGAGGUGGCAUGGGCCAAAAGAGGGAGGGCAACCAGCCCAGGGAAACCCUAGGCGCUGGUGCCUAGGGGUGCGCCACCCCCUCCCCCUGCCCUGGCCACCUGUAACGCCCCGGACACACCCGCCGGCGGUCGUUACUCCUGGCAAGAUNNNNNNNNNNNNNNNNNNNNNNNNNNNNNNNNNNNNNNNNNNNNNNNNNNNNNNNNNNNNNNNNNNNNNNNNNNNNNNNNNNNNNNNNNNNNNNNNNNNNGUGUCCGGGGCGUUACAAGUUGGUAUCAGAGCCGACCCUCGCGGUUACACGGAUGUUUGCGGACAGGUGUGCGAUCAUGUUGUUCAUGACGUUUGUGACCCGUUGUGGAACACGGCAUGGUACAUGUACUGGACUGGAUGCACAGAUGUUUGUGGCAAGAGGGAACGCUCCUGUGGCCCGACGAGGACGUCGGUUCCUCUGAGUGGUGGUGUAUGUGAUAGCCUGGCUUAUUAGGGAUGAUAGACUACUCAUAUCAAUAAGGAAUUCCUUCUUUUNNNNNNNNNNNNNNNNNNNNNNNNNNNNNNNNNNNNNNNNNNNNNNNNNNNNNNNNNNNNNNNNNNNNNNNNNNNNNNNNNNNNNNNNNNNNNNNNNNNNNNNNNNNNNNNNNNNNNNNNNNNNNNNNNNNNNNNNNNNNNNNNNNNNNNNNNNNNNNNNNNNNNNNNNNNNNNNNNNNNNNNNNNNNNNNNNNNNNNNNNNNNNNNNNNNNNNNNNNNNNNNNNNNNNNNNNNNNNNNNNNNNNNNNNNNNNNNNNNNNNNNNNNNNNNNNNNNNNNNNNNNNNNNNNNNNNNNNNNNNNGUGUCCGGGGCGUUACAGGUGGCCAGGGCAGGGGGAGGGGGUGGCGCACCCCUAGGCACCAGCGCCUAGGGUUUCCCUGGGCUGGUUGCCCUCCCUCUUUUGGCCCAUGCCACCUCUUGGGGCUUGUGGCCCCUCCGGGUAGAUCCCGGGGACCAUUACCGGUGGUUCGGUGGUCCCGGUACAUUACCGGUGACGCCCGAAACAUUUCCGGUGUCCUAAACCAUCCAUCUUAUAUAUCAAUCUUUACCUCCGGACCAUUUCGAAGCUCCUCGUGACGUCCGGGAUCUCAUUUGGGACUCCGAAGAACUUUCGGUAACCUCGUAUAACAAUUCCCUAUAACCCUAGCGUCAUCAAACCUUAAGUGUGUAGACCUUACGGGUUCUGGAGACACGUAGACAUGACCGAGACACCUCUCCGGCCAAUAACCAUCAGCGGGGUCUAGAUACCCAUGGUGUAUCCCACUUGUUCCAUGAUGAUCUCAUCAGAUGAACCACGAUGUCAAGGAUUCAAUCAAUCCCGUAUACAAUUCCCUUUGUCUGUCGGUAUAGAACUUGCCCGAGAUUCGAUCGUCGGUAUACCUAUACCUUGUUCAAUCUCGUUACCGGUAAGUCUCUUUACUCAUUCCGUAGCACGUCAUCGUGUGACUAACUCCUUAGUCACAUUGAGCUCAUGAUGAUGUUCUACCGAGUGGGCCCAGAGAUACCUCUCCGUCACGCGGAGUGACAAAUCCCGAUCUCGAUUCAUACCAACCCAACAGACACUUUCAGAGGUACCCGUAGUGCACCUUUAUUGUCACCGAGUUACGUUGUGACAUUUGAUACACCCAAAGCACUCCUACAGUAUCCGGGAGUUGCACAAUCUCACGGUCGAAGGAAAAGACACUUGACAUUAGAAAAGCUUUAGCAUACGAACAAUACGAUCUAGUGCUAUGCUUAGGAUUGGGUCUUGUCCAUCACAUCAUUCUCCCAAUGAUGUGAUCCCCUUAUCAAUGACAUCUAAUGCCCAUGACCAGGAAACCAUGAUCAUCUAUUGACUAACGAGCUAGCCAACUAGAGGCUUGCUAGGGACACAUUGUGAUCUAUUUAUUCACACAUGUAUUACUGUUUCCUGUCAAUACAAUUAUAGCAUGAACAAUGGACAAUUAUCAUGAACAAGGAAAUAUGAUAAUAACCAUUUUAUUAUUGCCUCUNNNNNNNNNNNNNNNNNNNNNNNNNNNNNNNNNNNNNNNNNNNNNNNNNNNNNNNNNNNNNNNNNNNNNNNNNNNNNNNNNNNNNNNNNNNNNNNNNNNNACCUAUACCUUGUUCAAUCUCGUUACCGGUCAGUCUCUUUACUCGUUCCGUAGCACGUCAUUGUGUGACUAACUCCUUAGUCACAUUGAGCUCAUGAUGAUGUUCUACCGAAUGGGCCCAGAGAUACCUNNNNNNNNNNNNNNNNNNNNNNNNNNNNNNNNNNNNNNNNNNNNNNNNNNNNNNNNNNNNNNNNNNNNNNNNNNNNNNNNNNNNNNNNNNNNNNNNNNNNNNNNNNNNNNNNNNNNNNNNNNNNNNNNNNNNNNNNNNNNNNNNNNNNNNNNNNNNNNNNNNNNNNNNNNNNNNNNNNNNNNNNNNNNNNNNNNNNNNNNNNNNNNNNNNNNNNNNNNNNNNNCCGUAGUGCACCUUUAUAGUCACCGAGUUACGUUGUGACGUUUGAUACACCCAAAGCACUCCUACGGUAUCCGAGAGUUGCACAAUCUCACGGUCGAAGGAAAAGACACUUGACAUUAGAAAAGCUUUAGCAUACGAACAAUACGAUCUAGUGAUAUGCUUAUGAUUGGGUCUUGUCCAUCACAUCAUUCCCCCAAUGAUGUGAUCCCGUUAUCAAUGACAUCUAAUGCCCAUUACCAGGAAACCAUGAUCAUCUAUUGACUAACGAGCUAGCCAACUAGAGGCUUGCUAGGGACACAUUGUGAUCUAUUUAUUCACACAUGUAUUACUGUUUCCUGUCAAUACAAUUAUAGCAUGAACAAUAGACGAUUAUCAUGAACAAGGAAAUAUGAUAAUAACCAUUUUAUUAUUGCCUCUAGGGCAUAUUUCCAACGAUAUUGAUGGUGGAUUCGAUUACAAGGAGGGCGUAACUCGCCUGACCUAGCUCUCGAUGGAUUCUAACUUAGCCUAUCUGCCCUAGAGACUCGCCUUUAUAUACAGGUCGAGGCCCUAGGGGUUACAAAGUCCUAGCCACGUUACAAAUCGUGGCUUUCCAUAUCUCUAAGUUGUCAUGUUUUCCAAGCUAGGAAACCUCCUUGGCGACUGAUAUUCUCCAUCAAUCUUGAACCGCCAUCUAGCUCAGGGCCCUGGCGUCCCUUUAUCAAAGAUCUCCCAGCGCACCUCAGGCCCUGGGCCAAGGCUUACGAUGACCAUGUAUGUAUGAGUCGCCACUUUCCUGACCCGGCCCAACAGGGCGGGUCAUAACGCAACACCUGGCCACUAGUGAAGACUAUCCUGAAUAAUGGGCAAACAACAGGCUAAACUGUAGAAAACUGCAAAAGAGGUCGUGAGGAGAUCAAUGUGGAGACUGUUGCUACAGUUGCGGUUGCCUCCUCCUCUGCUGCUGAGGUCUCUGGCACUGCAAAUACUCUGAAGCGAGCUUUGGUGAAGAAAUCAGAUAUCAAGCCAAAGUCUUCAGCUUCACAUUCCUCAUAGCAAUAUCCUCAAUUAGCUCCAAAUGUGGCUCAAAGUCCUCAGUGACUACCACAAAGUCCUCACUGCCAAUGCAACUGGAGACAAGCCAGCGUCCAACUGGGACUCCAAUUCCCUCAGGACCGUCUGCUUCUGGCUCUGCACACACUUCUUCUAGAGCAAACAUGAAGAAAAAGAUGGUCGUUGGGCGAGGAAAAAGACGUAUCCCUAACAAGGUGGUCCUCAAUGUUCCCUCAGGAUCUGAGGAAGAAGAAGAGGCUGAUGAUGAAGUACUUGAUGCAAUCAUCAGAAAUAAACAAGAGAGGGUUGCAUAGGCAAAAGGCACCAACAUUCCCCUCAUGUUGGAUCCAAAGGUGGUGUUAGACUUCAUUGACGUGUGGUAUCAAAAUCCUCAAACCCCUAUUGAUGAUUUGAAGCUUCCACCUGGACCAAGUUAUGUAUGUGCUGGCGGCCUUCAUCAAUGAAGAAAAAUGGAAGAUUGAAAAGCCCAAAAGGGCCAAAAAAGCAUAGACAAAGAAAAAAUUCUGAAGAACAACAAUCUAUCACUGACCCUGAACAGCUCAUGUCCACACAAACAGAGAUCAAUAACCUCAGUGAAGAAUUCAAUCGCUAUCAUGCUGACUGGGAGGGUGCAACGGUCAGAUUCAUCAACAUAGCCACCAAAUCCGUCACUAACCACAACAACAGGGUUGUAGUUCAAACGCAGCCACAAAUUCCUCAGGCCAGCUCCUCUGCUCAACCGCGUGAAGAAAAUGCCAGGUUUGAAGAAAUACAAGCGCCUUAUGAAUCUGCACCUCAAGAACCUGCCAGGCCAGCUGAAGAACAUGUUGCGUCUGAAGAAACUACUACUGCAAGGACGACUUCAUCAGCCUGACUGAAGAAUCUGCCACAACACCAAAGUCUUCAAAAGUGAAGAAAAUGGCACUUUCUUAUGCAUCAGAAAUGAAGAAAACCAAGGCUGUUGAAAAGGAAGCAACUAAGAAAAGAAAGGCAUCAACAAGCUCAGAGUCCUCAGAAGCCAAAUGCUUGAGGACUUUGAAAAGUUCCUCGACUACACCUAUUGACGCCACUCCUAUCAACACGGUACCCUCUUACGAGGUGAUGUCAUUUUGUGUCACACAUAUCAUCCCAGAAGGGGAUGAAGAAAUGGAAGAUAGUCGAUCUACUGCUUCCACAGAGCAGCUUGAUGAAUAAAUUGAAGUGGGCAUGAAUCCUUCAAUUCCUCGAGAUUCAUCUCCUCCUCCUCAACACAGAACACAAGCAGGCGAUGAAGGAAAAUAUGAAGAUGUGGAUUUUGGAUGCCAAACACCUGUUAUGAAUGACGGAUACUGGGAAGAAGCUCGUCCCAACUCACCACUCGCAACUCCACUUCCACAAAAUCCUGAGUCCCCUACAGUCACUGAAGAAAUUCAUACUGGGUUUGAUGACAAACUCACUACGAUGAAGUCUAUCCCGGAGAAUGAAUCAGUUGCAUCAGUUGAAGAAACCGUGAAUUAAACCGCCACUCAGGAUACUCUGCCACGGAAAUUGAUGAAUAUGCAAAGCAUAUACCUCACACUGAAGAAAAUGUGGCUAAAGAAACUGCUCCUCCUCAAGGUGAGGACACUUCUGAUGAACCUCAUGUUCAAAAUCCUCAGUCUAUAGUGGUCGUGGCUCAAAUUCCUCUGACUGAAGACAUCUGCCGACUUGUGGGCCAAUUCAAGCCAAAUCUUCAACCCAAGACUCUUUAGCCUUACACUGGUUCAAAAAGGCCAAAAUUCGAGAAGGAGAGAUUCUGUCAUGAACAUCAUUAUUUCAUCGGUGCAAAUCCUUAUGACUCCCCAAGGAUGAGGCGCAAGAGAUUCUGGACUGGUGCACACGUGAACUACUAUGGUGAUGUGCUCUUUCACAAGAACAAGAUUUUUCAGCAUCACCAAAUUCCUCAUGCACACAUGGAACUCAUUCCCUGCUUUUUAGCAUCAGCAUUCUGUUUGAUGCUGGUCUACUGCCAUUCUGCAUGGACAUGUGUGACUAGAAUGGAGAACUCAUUCUUUAAUUCACUAGUUUGCAUCUCUCGGGUGAAGCAUCAGAUGUAAACACUUGGGUUCUGGACUGGAUGAUUGAAGACACUCACUAAAUAACUCCUUCCAUGAAGUUACUUCGUGCGGUCCCAGUUCCAAUUCCCUCAGAAGGAGCCAGAUGAAUCUAUGAUGAAGCUGAGCUGCCCGAUCACCUGAUGCAAGUGCUGAUAAAGGCUUUGGCUCCUGGCAAGCCACCAAGUACCACAUUCCUUGUCAAAGAACUGCUCUAUGUGCCACUACAGUAUAUGACCAAAACCCUGAGUCCUAUCAAGGGCCACAACUCUGAAGAAGAAGAUGUUGUAGGAAUCAUGAAGAAUUUGCUCUUUAACAUUAUUAAUGGGAUUCCAAAAAAUCUUCACGGUUUCUUCAUGAGGACUUUGGACAAUUAUGCUAUGUCACCAUUUGAGCUGAAGCCUUAUGCACCAUGGAUUACGAAAUUCAUCAAGGACACAUCAUCAAUUCCUUACAAUGCUGACUUUCAGAAUCACUUCAGCUAUUUUCCCCCACUUGAAGUCGACAAGAAAUCCUUCAAGAUGAUUGAAGGCAAGGGCAAAAUAGUGAUUGAUGAGGGGUCUCAUCCCCUUGAUGGAAAAUUUCGCAAGUCUGCAUCCUACUCCACAAAUGAUGACACUACAUCACAAGACUCGGUUGCAAAAGCCUCAACUAAAGCUCCUCACGAGUCUGCCCCGCGCGUGAUGACUGACCAAGAGCUUCUGCUUAGUCUUCAUCAAAAGUUUGAUCGCAAUCACAAGUGGGUAAGGCGUCAGUUUAGUGCCAUUGUGUGUGAUAUAAAUGUGAUGGAAAAUGUAGUGAAGAAAAACCACUAUUAUCUCCAUCAAACUUCGACCGCACAUGGGCCAUUCUGUCUCACCUCAAGACUCCUGGGGAACUCACUGAAAUGGAAUUUUAGCAUGAUUUUGAUUGGUCCUGGAUGCCCAAGAAGAAAUUCAAGAAAGUUCCAGUUCCUCACUUGGUGGCUAGUUUAUAUUCUUCAUCGUGCACAGCUGAUGUAGGUGAGGAUCUUGAUGACACUGUUGCCGGUCCAAUUACAAUGAACGACCCCGACAACACUAGUGUUCCUCCUCUAUCAACAAGUUGAUAUUCUUCACGGGAAUUAGUCCUUGGUUUCAUCCCUUUUCGUCACUUGAUGACAAAGGAGGUAAAUCUGAGUUAGUCUUCAAGAGGGUCUACUUUAUUAGCUUAUGAACUAUGUUUUUUAAGUUGCAACUCUCGUUUUUGUGAAGUGUUUUGUUGUAUGAGUUGUAAACUUAUGCUUGGUGGUGGUCUAACACUUUUGAACCAUUGUUUUUCUUCGCAUGCUUAUUCCUCACGUUGAUUAAUGCACGCAUGCUAAAAUUCGUCAGACACCACUUUCCAUCAUGCAUUUCAGUUUCCUCAUGAUGUAUGUUAAAGCCUGCAUGGAUUACAAGAUAUAGGGGGAGAUCUUCAUGGUAUAAACCUACAAUAUGCAUUUGCAGUCCAAAGCAAAUUCCUCAAAUAUGCACACCUUCAGGGGGGGCUUCUCUAUAUCUUGCUAUCAAAUUCCACAAACACUAUACUUACACGUCAUAUAUUAUCCCCAUUGAAAACUUAACCUAUUUGUCAUCAAUCACUAAAAAGGGGGAUAUUGUAAGUGCAUCUAGUGCCCCUUAGUGAUUUUAGUGUAUUGAAGACUUAUGGGUUAAGAGAAUGAUGAUUUUGUGAGUGUACACAAGCUCUAUAAGUCGCUGAGGAGUUUGAGUUAUUCGAAGAAUAUCGACCCCUAAAAAUGGAUGUCUUCAACUAAAUACUUUGGUAAUUCCUUGAAGACUUUGAAAGCAUGGAAAUUGGUGUGUCCAUGAAGAAAUUGAUGUGAAGAAUUUGAAGCGUGAAGACUUUUGUAUUCGUAGUUUCAUUUCCUUUCUUUUGAGUCAUAGGACCACCAUACUAUUAAAGGGGGUCAAGGUAAAACAAGGAAAAGUUUGCAAGUGAUGCUCAUAUCAAAGCCUACACAUACCCAAUCCUUCGAGUGAAGCCUUUGGAAAUCUUUUACAGUUUAGUCUAAUUAUUCAGUGACACACACGAAGAUCUUCUGGUCUCUAAGGAAUUUGCUCUAACUCAUGAGUUAGGUUUUCGCCAAUGCAAUUACCUACAAGUGAGGAACAUGAGAGACAUGAGGACUCUCAGAGUUGAAAGAUUCCGACGUUGUUGCGCCGCGCGCCAGCUGUCCCUAACCUUAUCCACAUAACUGUCAUAUCAUUGGGGCAUUUAUGUCAAGUCAUGUCAGGAUUGCUCCCAGGCUAUAAAUAGCCACCCCCAUAACCACUAGCUGGUUGGCUGCUCCGCGAGAAAAAAUGACACUUCUCAUUUGAAAGCAACCCAUUCCUCGAAGGCUUUGAGGGGAAAUCAUCAGUGAGGAAAAAAACCCAAACACCCAAACCAAAACCCAAAACCCCCAAAGUGAUUGAGCAUCACUGAAGAGAUUGUUCUUGUGUGGAACAGAUGCUUGUUAUCUUUGAGGAAUGUGCAUCCUCCAUACGGUUAGGCGUCAUCGUCUAGAGCAUCCAACAGUCAAUUAUGGAUCGCCGGGUGACCGAGUUUGUGAGGGUUUGGAAGUCUGCCCUGAAGACUUACCACGAGUGUUGGGCGAGGACUGUGUGUCCUUAGCUCAAGGAGAAUAUGGUAAGGAUUGUUUGUCUUGGGACUGUGUGUCCUUUGGUUUAAACACCAAGCCGCUCCAAACCAGACGUAUGAUUGUCACAGCAGUUGGAACUGGGUUAUCAAAUCACUGUCUUCACCAAGUACCUGGUUCUAUUUCAUAAACCCUUUCAUUUUCUCAUUUAUGUGUUGAUGAAAUUGAUCGUUGCUAUUUAAAGAACUUUACUGAUGACUUCCACAAUUUCCUCACCCCAAAUUCUUCACUUCACUUGUUCUUCAUGUGCAUAUCCUAAACACGCUACUUGUGCAAAAAUGUCUAUUUCAUUUCAUCAUGAAGACUAUGUUAUUGCAGUGUUGAAUGCUCGCAUGAGUACUUAAUCCACUGCUCGUCGUCCGUGAGUGAGGAAUUUCAUCACAAGGAAUUUCCUUAGUGAUGAAUUCAUAAAAAUCGCCUAUUCNNNNNNNNNNNNNNNNNNNNNNNNNNNNNNNNNNNNNNNNNNNNNNNNNNNNNNNNNNNNNNNNNNNNNNNNNNNNNNNNNNNNNNNNNNNNNNNNNNNNNNNNNNNNNNNNNNNNNNNNNNNNNNNNNNNNNNNNNNNNNNNNNNNCCCCCCCCCCUCCAUUCGAUAUAACACACUUCCAUUUACACGCUACAUGUGUUGUGUGUAUGUUUCAUUUCAUCAUGAUGAAUAUGAUAUUGCUAUAUUUUACAUGCAGUUGAGUACUUAUUCCGCUGCUACUAUUUUUUCACUUAACAAAUUGCUUAAGGAGUAAUUCCUCAGAGGCGAAUUUGUAAAAAAUCGCCUAUUCACCCCCACCCCCACCCCCUAGUCGAUAUAACGCACUUUCAACUAUUCAUCCACAAAGUCCAUAAAAAUAUUACACGUCACAUUUCAAGAUAUUUCAUCCUGAAUUUUUAGACACAAAUAAAUUUCAUUCUUGUAUACUUGCAUAUUUUUCAGAUUUUUUUAAACGAAAAUGUUAGAAUUUUGAACUUUUAAAAAAUAAAGGGCUUCAUGGAGCUCGGUCACCAAAACGUCCUAAUCGUGGGAUGUGGUCCACCAAAUCUAUAACAAAAAAAUAGAUACCAACUCCCAUUUCUUCAUUGAACUAAUAGGGUUCCCCACGAAAGACAUGGAUGGGAGUUGGUCCUCCCAAUUCCCCUUCCCUUGUUAAUGCCCAACUCCCUGAACCAAUCAACAACCUAACGCAUUGUUGGUUAUGUUUUCAUGACAAGUCAUGUCACGUAGGGAUGCAAAUUUCGUACCUUUAGGGCAUCCUCCUACCCUACUUUUCUUAGUUGACCACCGAACCUACUAAAAAAUUAAACCCUACUUUUCUUAGUUGACCACCGAACCUACUAAAAAAUUAAAAUUGAUGUGAAUUCUAAUAAUUAGUUCAUUUGGUUGAACUAAAAAGGGUAGGAGGAUACCCAAAAUUUGCAUCCUUGAUGCCACAUUGUACCCUUUCGUACUAGAUUUUUCAAUUUUUGCAUGCAAGACAUGUGGGCCUCGCAUGGGUUGAUGGUAACAAAACACUACCCAAGCGAUUCCCUAGGUAAGAGCAUAUGCACCCGGACAUCCCAAACCAUCCCCAAACGACCAGGCGGACGGCUCCGUCACUAACGAGUCAUCAAAAAUCAAUUCAGACGGGUGCUUUAAAUAGGCCUCAAACAUUCGGGCUCACCCACACCCCUCAUAUUCAACCCAAAUUUAGAGUGGAAUUUUUUUGAAACAACCUCACGAAUCUUUUUAUUAAAUCGUCACAAUGUUUACAGGGACGAAAGAAAGAUCUCUUGGUUGGCCCAACCAAACUUGGCGACCACCCCUGAGAUAAAGCAUGCCUCACUAGGUUGUGAGCUUCAAAAUUGGAGCUCCUAAAUUCAUGUUUAAAUUUAUAUAAAUGAAAUUCUCAUGAGUGUCCUAUUAUUUCAUGUAUAAUAGGUCCAUAAACUGAUGAGUUCUCCUUCUUCAGGCCAUCAACCACCACUUUGCAGUCCAAAGCCACCUGAAUACACCUUUGAUAAAGAUCAUCUGAUAGUGCUGGAGCCUCUCGGAUGGCUAGUGCUAUGGGAGUCUGAGGUUCUGCAAUAUAUAUAAAAACAAGCACACAGGCUCCCAAGAAACUCCCAUCAGAACUUGUGCAGAUCGCCCCCAUCGAAUCAUACCUGGCAUGUCGCGAGACCGCGGCAUCAACAUUCACUUUUGCACACCGUGCAUCCGGGGCCUGCCAGUGGAUCAACCUGGGGAUUACACAAGUUGUUCGCCUUGAACUCUUCGUGUUGAUUAACUUGAUUUCGGCAAGAUAUCUCAUGGUAAACUUGUGGAUAGCAUCAGGUGACUCAUACAUGUCUUCAUAUAUUGCUUUUCUCCUUGCUCCCCAAAUAUCCCAAGUGGUGACAACCAGUCGUACGAACGCAUCGUUGUCCAUAUUUGCAUGUAGUGCAAAAUCCAUUCCUUGGAGCUCUCUUCUUGCCUAUCCACCAUGUGUUGUACUAGCUCCUCUGGCGCUAGGGCCCACACGCUACUAGACAUAGGACAUGUUAAUAGUGCAUGUCGCCAAGUAUCCACAGCGCCAGACAAGUGACACGUAUCUUCUGUUGCCAUGUUUUUAUGCUUCAAAAGUUCUCUUGUAGGCAUUGACUGUCUCACCAAUCUCUAGAAAAACGUCCUUAGCUUUGAUGGCACCUCAAUAUGCCAUAUGCUGCUCCACUUUUUCGCCUUAUUUUGGGUGGUAGAUGAGCCUUCUUCAUUGAGCGACGCCUCCUGAUUCUACUUUGUUUGCAAAAUCAUGCGAUAGGCAGAUCUCACACUGAAAAUUCCUCGAGUUGCUUCAUGUCAGCCCCAAAAGUCAUCAAUUUUGUGUGUGCAUAGUGGUAUCUUGAGUAUCUCCACAGCAUCAAAUGGAGUGAAAGUUGUUCUCAUCGGUUCCUCCUUCCAUGAGGCAGUAGUAGUAUCAAUUAGUCGGCCACCAUCUAUGGUGGGUCCAGAAUCAGAGAAGUAUUUGGUCUUUCAAAAUUGUCCCGCGGGAUCCAAUUAUGCCUCCAAAUGUCAGUGGUCUCACUAUCCCCAAUUUUUUGGAGAACUCCUUGUGCCAAUAUAUCGCGACCGUCUAGGAUUGCCCGCCAGAUGUGUGAUGGGUGUGACCCUAAUUCAGCAUCAAGCAAUGAUGAGUUCGGAAAAUAUAUCGCUUUCAAAAUUCUUGAGCUCAAAGAUGACUCCUCUAUAAAUAGCUUCCAGGGUUGAUGAGCAAGGAGUGCUAAGUUAAAAACCUCUAGAUCACGGAAACCUAAGCCCCCCAAAUGUUUGGGUCUGGUCAUAAUAUCCCACGCCACCCAACUGGGCUUUCUCUUGCCUUGCUUGCUUCCCCACCAAAAUUGAUGUAUGAUGGAAGUGAUAUUCUCACAAAGGCCUCUUGGCAAUCUGAAACAAGACAUGGAAUACAUCGGUAUAGCCCGUGCUACAUAUUUAAUUAACACUUCCUUCCCCAUGAAGACAGGAGCUUCUCCAUCCAUCCCUUAAUCUUUUCCCAAACUCGGUCUCGCAAAUAUCUGAAAGUACCAUUCUUUGAGUGGCAGGCUACUGUUGGCAUGCCGAGGUAUCGUUUAGUCAAUGAUUCAUUCUAGACAUGUAAGGUGUUCUUGAUCUCCACUCUUAUGUUGCAUGGGCAUCCCUUACUGAAGAAAAUUGAGGAUUUAUCAUUGUUUAUUCUUUGUCCUCAUGCACCACAAUAAGAAUCUAGUAGGUUUGACACCACAACUGAACCCUCUACACUAGCUUUGAAGAGAAAUAGUCUGUUAUCUGCAAACAAAAGGUGGUUAAUGAUGGGAGUCGUUGGAGCCACCCUAAUACCUUUGAAUAAUGACUGAGAACUGGAUUUGAGGGGGCACAAAAGGCCCUCUGCUCCAAUCAAGAAUAAGUAGGGUGGGAUGGGAUCUCCCUGUCGAAUACCUAGGAUGGGUUUGAAAGAGUCUAACUUCUCACCAUUAAACAUAACCAAAAAAGAGACCGAUGAAACCAUGCUCAUAACAAUAUCUAUCCACUGUUCCGCAAAGCCAAGCUUUGUCAUAAUAUCUCUCAAAUAAGACCUUUCUAAUAUGUCAUAUGCCUUCAUCAUGUCGAGCUUCAGAGCACAGAAACUAUUUGAUUUUGAUCUUUACUGUUUCAUAAAGUGCAAGCAUUCAUAGGCGCAUAUGAUGAUGUCAGUUAUUAGUCUCCGUGGAACAAAGGUUGACUGCUCCUCAAAAAUUAUAUCAGGCAAUAUUAUUUUCAAUCUAUUUCCCAUCACCUUUGAGGUUAUCUUGUAUAAAAUGUUGCAUAGACUUAUACGCCUGAACUGGGAUAAAACUGUAGGAUUUGUUACCUUGGGGAUCAAAACUAAAACAGUAUCAUUGAUGCAUUCCGGGCUCUCUUCUCCAUGAACUAUUCUCAGCAUACUUUUUGUGACCUCAUCUACAAAAAUGUCCUAGUGGCGCUGAUAAAAUGAGCAGGGAAACCGUCAGGUCCCGGAGCUUUUGUAGGAAACAUCUGGAAUAAGGCGAUUUUUACCUCAUUGGUAUAUGGAGCACAUAGGGAUGUGUUCAUCUCGGUUGUCACAUUUCGAGGGACAUGAUCUAGGAUGGCUUGCAUAUUUUGUACUCCCUCCGAAGAGUACAGCUCGUGAUAAAACUCAUUGGCCAUUGCCUUCAAGAUCACCGGAUCCAGAACCACCGCCCUAAUAGAAUUUUGUAGAGCUUUGAUCAUAUUUUUCUUCCUGCACAAGCUAGCUUGGAGAUGAAGAAAAUUAGUGUUCCUAUCCCCCUAAGAAAGCCACUCAACCCAUGCCCUCUGACCCCACAUUAUUUCUUCCCGGUGAUACAUCUCAAUCAAACGCUCAUUGACCUUUAACUCCGCAUGAGAAGGACUGAUUCGCAACGGGUCGCUCCUUAGUUCCUCUAGCACUUGUUUCAAUUGUUUUAUCUCCUUUCGUACGCUGCCAAACGUAUCCCUGCUCCACUUGUCUAUACCCUUGGACAUAUCACUCACUCUUUGUCUCAUCUCCUCCACGUAUGCACAUGGUGAUCCGGCGUUCCAUCCACUAGUGAUUAACUCUCGCAGUCCUUCAUGUGACUCCCACAUGAGUUCGUACUUAAACGAAAUUUUGACAUGUAACUCCUCUAAACUGCCAAAAUCAAUCAGCAAGGGUGAGCGAUCUGAGGUAAAUCCCGUUAAAUGUGUGACUGAGGCAGCUAGAAAUUUGGCCAUCCAACUCGCAUUAACCAAAGCCCUAUCCAAACGACAUCUAGUGUAGCUCCCUCUGGUGAAUUUCUUCUCAAAAGUCCAAAAAAUCCUUUAUACCCCAGGUCUAUUACCAUGCAAAUAUCAGUGGCUUCUCGAAAAGCUUGGAUUUGUGCAUUACUGCGUUCACCAAUUCUGUCGUGCUCAUCCGGACAUAGAACUUCAUUGAAAUCACCCAUACAUAACCACGGCAACGUGCUCAAUGUGCUAAUGUUUUUCAAAACGGUCCAAGUUUGGUGUCUGAGGUUUGUUUGUGCCUCAUCGUAUACGCAUGUCAGCCUCCACUUAUCCUGAUUACGCUCCUCAAUCAUGGCAUCUAGAUGAUAAACAUGUCAGCCUCCACUUAUCCUGAUUACGCUCCUCAAUCGUGGCAUCUAGAUGAUAAACAGAGUAACCAAGUAUAACGCCCCGGACACACCCGUCGGUGGUCGUUACUCCUGGCGGGAUCUAGACUGGCCCCACAUAUCAAUACUAGUCUUUUCUGUGCCGAGCACGCUUAACCUAGGAGUUUUUGUCCUCACUCAUGCGCACCCGGGAUCAAAUUCCCGGUCGGUCACCCAUCCUAGAACUACUCCAAGCCGAGCACGCUUAACCUGGGAGUUCUGUUCGAAUGGGCUUCCAGAAAAGAAGGAAUUCCUUAUUGAUAUGAGUAGUCUAUCAUCCCUAAUAAGCCAGGCUAUCACACCAAGAAUCUUAACUUUUAUUGAAUUAUUCCAAAAGAGUCCAAUGCCAGCACUUCGCCUUUGACUACUAACAACAAAUGAAUUAUCAUAACCCAAAGUACUCGAUAAUGCUUCUACCCUAGCUCCUUCUAUUUGUGUUUCAACUAUACAUAAUAGGGUAGGGACAAAUCUCCUCGCGAAAUCGUGAAGCUCUCGGACUGUGGCAGCUUUGCCCGCACCAUAACAGUUCGAGCAAAAGGCACUCAUUGGCCUUGGUAGUGCCCGUCAAUUUGGCCCGCCAGCUUUGGGUCAACUUAAGAUUGUGUGAUGUUCUUAGAUGAGUUGUUCUUCUGUGCAUCCUCAUUCAUCCUCGUUCUCUUCAAAUCCUUCUUUGCACUUGGGCUGACAGGAACGAGAGAGGCGACAGUGCGAGUAUAUCAGAACGAUCUGCAUGCACUCAACUCCCAUCACGUGAAGCUGAAUGCCCCACAUUUGGCUCUGAGGUCCUCUUUCUAUUGUUCUCUGCCUCGUGUAUCUCCAAAUCAUGAGCAUGUUCAGGCUGAUCAUAGUCUUCAUAAUCCUCCUGAUGCGAGUUGUUUUGUGCACCCAUGCCUCGUCCUCUGCUACGGCCUCCACGGCAACCACCCCGACGGCCACACCCAUUACCCGGACCUCGCCCGGUUCUCAUUACCCAUUAUGCUCUAAGGUCUUUAAAAACCAGAGCCGAAGGUGGAUGUAUUCCGCUUCCGUGUUCCUUAAACAGGUGACCCAACAUACCGUAGACAGCACACCAAUGAGGCAGCUUCUCAUACCUGAGGCAGUAUAUUUGACGCUUACCAUUACGGGUCAUGGAUACUGCAUUCUUCAGGGGUUUUCUGACGUUGAUACUGACCCAAACACGGUAAAAAUUACCAGCAAAAUCCUGCGAUUGUGGCUCGGUGACAGCACCUCCCCAACUUUUGCUGCAAGAGAAGGCAUGAGAUGAGCGUACAGAUCUGGAACAUCAUGGAUCUGAACCCAGAUUUCUAUGGUGUCAAGUGGAAUUGUAGAAGACUUUGUUACUCCACCAUACGGCUUGAUGAUCACCGCAUCCCGUGCCAUGGACCAUCCUGGAUAACCCUCUCCCAAUCUCCUAAACAGGAAAAUUGGACGGUGUAAAUAUUGUUCUCCACGGGCCUAGAUUUUACUUCCUGGGGAAGAUCCCAAGUUGCCUUCAUGUUCUUGAAGAACCAGAAUUGACUACAGAUUUUGCAUGAGUGAACCCUGGCUAGGGCAAUCCAUCGGGAUGCCUCCGGGGGCGCCUCCUUCUCGUCAAACACCACAUCGUCAAGAUCCUCUUCUCUCAGACCCAAGUCCCUCAUCAUCCUCUCCACCUUGUUAGUUUUCGCUUAACCUGCCUCAUCAGAUCCUGUUGAUCUGCUUGAUGCCAUCUUGAUCCCUGGCCCAAUAAAAAACACGAUCAAAUCUUGUUGGUGUAGCCCUAAACCCUCCACCUACUCUACUCUCACCGGGACGGGAGAUAGGGGCAGGAGAUCCUGUGUGGAGGUAGGGAAAGACAAUCUCGACGACGGCGAAAAAUUGUCCCUGAAGAAACCAAAACCCUAGCAAGAGGGAAUUUUUAAUUUAGGGUGGAUAUGUGGUCGUCUGAGUGCGUCCGCCACAUCGGCUUGCCUGUCCCACCCAGACCCCACAAAUAUCUCCAUCCGAAAAACUUUAGACAUCGAUCAAUCCGAACUCCACUUCACUCUCGUGUCGGUCCACUCCACUUAUGCCCCUCCGAUUCGAUGGCCGGCAACGAAAGCAGCGACGAUCCGGCGGAGAAUCCGACGCCACGACCAUCGAUGUGGACGAGGUCGCCCUCCGCAUCGUCCUCACGCGGUCGCUACUCGACCUAGGUGGCAGCGCCAACGACAUAUCUUCUUUCUCAGCACAUGUCGCCCGUCGACGCAACACCGGCAAUGUCGCUGGCCCGUCCGGUCGGGGGCGCAGCUCUAUCCACUCCGCUCUCGUCUUUCACGUAUGCCGACAACCUCCCUCUGUUCCGGAAGUGGUACCCGACCACCGAUGGGUCCUCGUGUCCGCGUAGGCCCUAGGGCGAACGAGGACACUCGAGUCCGAGGAAUGAGCACCCAGCCGCGAGUGGCAACGGGCAAGGAAGAGGACAAUAACAUGGAAGGCAUUGACCGCACGUCGACAACGCACGGCCGCGCUGGUCUAUCCCGAUACCGCACUCCUCGCGCCUCCGCCGCUCUCUCACGAAUCACGACGAGACUCAUCGUCGAGUGAGAGGCAAGCAAGGAGGUGGCCCGCCUUGCCAAGAGCAGGACCGCCUGCUUCGCACGCUAUCGGGCCGAAGCUACCACUUAAACUCCGACUUGACGAGCGGCUCCACCUCCAGCUCCAACGACAGACCACCUCACGUCGACGCCUACAUCAAGAGGGGCAUAGCCGCAUCUUAAAGGACGUGGAUGUCGCCUAGAGGGGGGUUGAAUAGGUGCUUUAAAAUAAUUAAGGUUUAGGCUUGAACAAAUGCGGAAUAAAACUAGCGUUUAAUUUGUCAAGCACAAAACCUACAAACAACUAGGCUCACCUAUGUGCACCAACAACUUAUGCUAAGCAAGAUAAACAACUAAGUGAUAGCAAGAUAUAUUACAAUAAACAAUAUGUCUAUCACAAAGUAAAGUGCAUAAGUAAAGGGCACGGGUAAGAGAUAACCGAGGCACGGGGAGACGAUGAUGUAUCCCAAAGUUCACACCCUUGCGGAUGCUAAUCUCCGUUGGAGCGGUGUGGAGGCACAAUGCUCCCCAAGAUGCCACUAAGGCCACCGUAAUCUCCUCACGCCCUCGCACAAUGCAAGAUGCCGUGAUUCCACUAAGGGACCCUUGAGGACGGUCACCGAACCCGUACAAAUGGCAAACCUUGGGGCCGGUCACCGAACCCGUACACGUGGCAACCCUUGGGGGCGGUUACCGGUACCCGUACAAAUUGCUCGGGGCAAUCUCCACAACCUAAUUGGAGACCCCGACACUUGCCCGGAGCUUCCCACCACAAUGAUUGAGCUCCGAGACACCACCAAGCUUCUAGGACGCCAAAGCAUCCACGAAGAACAAUAUCUAGGGUACUAAGUACCAAAGGUAGUAAGCUUCUCAACUUCUCACUUCCACAUAUCACCGUGGAGAAUUCAAACCGAUGCAACUAAUGCAAUGGCAAGAACACACGAAGUGGUCAAGUCCCUCACACUCAAAUCCCUCCACAACAACAAAAGCUAUGGAGAAAUAUGAGAGGAAGAACAAGGAGCUCACAAAGAACUCCAAGAUCUAGAUCCAAGGGGUUCCCCUCACAUGAAGGAGAAAGUGAUUGGUGGAGAUGUAGAUCUAGAUCUCCUCUCUCUUUUCCCUCAAGAACAAGCAAGAAUCAUUGGAGGGAUUGAGAGUUAGCAAGCUCUAAGAAUGUCAACAAUGGAGGUAGAACAAGAGCUCAACAGAUGGAUAAGACCAAGGGGGGAGAAGACCCCCUUUAUAUAGUGGGGGACGGAAUCAGACCGUUACCCCCACUUACAGCCCGAGCCCAGCGGUACUACCGCUGGCUCCAGCGGUACUACCGCUGACCCUCCGGCGGUACUACCGCUGGCUGCAGCGGUACUACCGCUCACCCUCCAGCGGUACUACCGCUGGCUGCAGCGGUACUACCGCUGAGCCCAUGGUAGCGCAAAGAAACUACCGGGCCAACCACCGCCAAGAAAGUCUUUGCAAAAAGUCCGACGCGGUACAACCGCCAAGAUGACGGUACUAAAGUCCUGGAGCGGUACUACCGCUGACCAGGGGCGGUACUACCGUUGGGACAGUGGUACUACCGCCAGCUCUAGCGGUACUACCACUAGGUCCAGCGGUACUACCGCUCGCCACUGAAAUAGCCAUAACUUUCGCAUACGAGUUCCGAAUCGAGCAAACCCAAGCUUGUUGGAUUCAGGACGACAAGAGCUAACCAAACAGCGACUGGAAAUCUUAAGACCAUGCAGAUAUGAAAAUGCCAAUGAUAUAGAGAUGUGAGUCCUCUAUGAAUGAAGAACCGGCAAAAACUCCAACAUCGAAAACAUCAUAGUAGAUGCAUAUGGACUCCGUUUUCGAUGAACUCGAGCUUGUCACGAAGAUGACCAUAAGCUCUAAAACUCACAAAGAGAAACACCAAACAAGAACCAAGAAGUAUGAUGCAAGGAUGCAAAUGGUUUGAGCUCUCAACGAACGAUACGAUCAAGCUACUCACUUGAGAGCCCCCCUUGAUAGUACAGCAAUCUAUCCUAAACAGAAAACCUAUCAAGGGCAAACCUAUACCUUGCACCUCGUCCUCUUGAGCUAGAUGAUGAUGAUCUUGGCUUCCUCAAGAUGGACCACCUUUCUUGAUUGCGUUGGCUUGAUGAAGACUAGUUGAUUGCUCCCCCAUACUCACUAUGGGUGAGCCACUCUUCAGCAUAUCUUCACUAGUCCAUUGCCACCACAAUGGACGGCAAGCUUCAAGCAUGAUAUCUUUGUGCUGAUCCACUUGAACUUGCACAUCGCAAUCUUGAUGACGAUCACAACUUGACGUCAUACUUCAUGGGUUGUAUGAGAUCUUCCCUUUGACGCAAGCCCAUGGAAACACACCUAACCCCACAUAGAACUCUCACGAAGACCAUGAGUUAGUACACAAACACGUAAUGGACAAUGCUUACCAUACCAUGGGAUCACUUGAUCCCUCUCGGUACAUCUUGUACGCUUUGUGUGUUGAUCAUCUUGAUUUACUCUUUGUCUGAGAUCUUGAUCAACCUUGUGUCUCUAUCACCAUUCUUUGGAUAAUACCUAGAAUACCAUCUUGAUCAUCAUAUAAACUCCUUGAACCCAACAGAUGGAUUUCAAGAAGUGCCUAUGGACAAAUCCUAUAAAUGUAACUUAAGGCAACCAUUAGUCCAUAGCAAUUGUCAUCAAUUACCAAAACCACAUAUGGAGAUAUAUGCUCUAACAGCAUAGAUGACCGAAAGGGGAAGGGGCCGACAAGAAAAUGAUGAUUUUCUCCAUCCAUUGUUGUUGUGUUUAUAUUUUAACUAUGGAGGAGCAUAGCCGCAUUGACAACCGAAAGAGGGGAACGGCCCAGCAAGAAAAUGAUGAUUUUCUCCAUCCUUCGUUGUUUUGUUUAUAAUUUACCUAUGUUUUAAGUAGCUUAUAGUAUGGAUUUCACAUCGUUGAACUACAAUGAACAAUGCAUCUUUUGUCCAACGAUGAAAUGUUAACCCAAUGAACUACAUGUGAUUGAUCGGCUUUUAGAUAGCGUUGCAUCGUCUUUAAGGUUUCAAAUAUAAGGAACACAGGUAUAAGGCACAUCCACACGAGUUUGAGGGUCCGGAUUUACCCACCGCAGCUGUAAAGGCUCUAAGGGUGCGUUCGGUUGCAGAGACAUGCUAGGAUGGUUGAGGGCAUCCCCAACCACCUGGUUAGGGGUAGUCAUUUUUUUGUUUGGUUGAAAGGGUGGUGUUAUCUCAUGUUUGUUUGGUUUAAGGGAUAUAAAUGAAGGAUAAGGGUGCGACCUCGGCAGCGCGAAGGAAGGAGGCGACCGGCUGGUGACAGAGGAACGGGAGGAGCAGCGGCAUGGAGGAAGGAUAGGAGAGGCCGACGACGCGGAGGUAUGAGAGGAGCGGCCGACGACGCGGAGGUAGAAGAGGAGCGACCGAUUGUGCGGAGGAAGGAGAGGAGCGGUCGACGGCGCGAACAUAGAAGAGGAGCUGUCGACAACACGAACAUAGGAGAGGAGCGACCGGCAACGCGAAGGGCGAAGAGGAGCGACCAACGACUCGAGGAAAAAGAGGAGCGACCGACGACACAAAGGGCGGGGCAGAGCGGCCAACGGCAUGAGGAGAGGAGCGGCCGGCCAGCGAACACAGUGCACCCCCACCCCCACCGCAUCUCUCCCUGUCCGUCGAAGGAUAUCCCUGUAACCAAACGCACCCUAAGUGCCACAGCUAGACCUGCCCGGUCCAGGCAACAGCCUCAGACAGGCACUAUUGAGGGCAGAGAACUUUUCAAACAAACUUGUACAGUGGAGAUACAGAGCCCCCACCACAUCCGAUAACUGUGUUCAACAAUCUGAGGUUUACAUACGGGACCGGGAUAAUGUUCCCAAACUGACACGCGACUGCCCUAUGUACUUAGUGUAACAUAUAGCACCUUUCCAACCACCAAACAAAAUCCAUCUCCAAACGAACAGCCUCUUACAACCCUGUGAAACGUCCCGGAUGACUAUCUAUUUGAAAUGAAUCGCAAAAUUUUCUAUAACAUGAACUAAAGUGCUAAUUAAAUUGCUGCCCAGACUGUAACCGGAUAAGCCAAUCCUAGAUCACAUGAAAGCUUAUAGAAUGAGGAGAAACGGGUUUUACAUCAUCCCAGUAACAAACCUGCAACAAGAAAUGACAGUGUAACUGAACACAUUAGCUGAAUACAGAUAUGAUGCUACACGAAAAUGUAUGAUCAGCACUCUGUAAGAUGACUUGCCUUUACAAACUGAACCUCUUAAGCAGGUUGCUGUUCCACUAUCCACUAUUGGUCAGGAGUCAGCACUGCAAAACAACAAGGCAGCCAUUAGGAACAUACACUUUGGAAGGUUAACAAAGCAGCCAUUAGAAACACUUGGCACAAAAACCAGUUAAUGAACUUGUUUGAUAGAUUAACUAGAAUUUUUUAAACAAUGUGCAUACGAAAAACUUAUUGCUACACGCCUCAAGUUUCGUUCUCUAUUAAACACCUCAUCCGUUUACCAUAUUUGCCAUAUAUAUAUUGGUGGACACGAUCAACUGGGCAAAAACAACAAAGAAGAGAUGACAUGUUAGUUGCCACAUAAACAGUAAAAAUAAUUGUUAAAUAGGCCAAGGACAGAGGUUUGGUUUCACAGGAUUUUAUUUAGAAAUUGUUGGGCUAGCUUCCAAAACGUAAUUAAUGGGAUUCGUAAGUCAUUUGAACUCCCCCAAGCUCCCAGGUUAUUGGGACACUCAUCCGACUUCAGGUAGUCAGAAGAUCAAAGGUUUGCCCUAAAGCUAAAGGUCAAAUGGUUAGGCAACUGAAGGAUAUCUAUAUUUCCAGAAUAGGCAAAUAUCAUCCAGCAGCAGGUUUUCCUUAAGAUUAUUGGUGCACUGGGAGAAAAGACCAAAAAGGAUUUGGGACUGUACACUUGCUCAACUACAGCUUUUAUGCUGAUGGUUCUUCUUUGUUCGUACCCCACUGUUCCUCACUAUCAUUUCCAUUCACAGCAACCUCAACAGCAUCUUCUUGGCUUUCUUCUGCUCCGUCAUCUUCAAAAACCUGUUGAACCAAGAUGGCGUUAUCAUUUAUGCAAGGAUGGAAUGUGAUGGGGACCAAAAAAAGAAGAUAAAAAAUCUUUACAUUUAAAAUAGAUGCAGUACCUUCCAUAAGUAGACCUGACUAAACCAACACUAUGUACCAAACAGGCUGCGUUUGGCAGCUCAGCUUUUGCAGUUUUUUUAUAAUAUGAUUUUUUAUACACCAUAGUUUUUUUCUAAAGGUCUUCAUUCAUACUGUGGUGUUUUAUAAACCGUUUUGACAACUUUGGUGUGUUUGGGAUCAACAAAUACCACAGUUUUAUAAACCAUAGUAUUUUCACAGUACUUCAAAAAGAGGUCUUGACCACUUUUUUGUACACCAAACUGAAAAAACUGGCUUUUAGAUAACAGAAGCAUUCAUUGUCCAGGCAUUGAAAUACUGAGGUUUUAGAUCACUAUGAUUUUGAAAAUACUGUGCUUAUGCCUUGAUGGUUACCCAGUGUAGACGUAAAAUAAUUCCUAUUAGGCGCUUGUUUGGAUUGCAACAGGAAAUACGAAAUAAAAAUAAAUAUCCCUUUCCAGGCCAACUGAGUUGGAUCAAAGUGUAUCCAAACAAGCCCAAAAGAGAUUAAAGUAUAUAGUAACAUACAAUGCAUGAGGAUGAGGAUCUGGGCAAAGCAAAGAUAAAACUAAAAAUCAAAAUACUGAGCAAUCGGUUCCAAGCCUUAGGGACCAAACUCUCUUGCGCACCACCAAUGGGAGGAGAUGAGUGGGGAGGACGAAAGAGGAAGAAGAAGAGGAUGAGGAUUGGGGGGGCUGAGAUCACGUCGACUACCGAGGAGACGGCCACCGGGACGUUAAAUGGGGCGAGGAAUUACACAAGGGAGGUGGGCACGAACGUCCACACCCUAGCACUGUCCAAAACAAAAUACCAAAUAAUUUGUGCAUUUGUAAGCUCACCCUAAUGUGUUGGAGCGAAAUUUGUAUCACCAAGAAAAGUAUCAAAUGGCAGAAAAAUACCGCUCGGCAAGCUCACCUUACAACCAAGAAUAGUAGAAACACACUGACAACGAAUACACUUAUUCUCUAUAAUCAGACACAAUAAGAGAAACUGCUUUCGGCCCAGAGGAUAAUAGCAUGGGAUAUCUUCCGAAAGAAGAUAAACGAAACAAGGUUCCCCACUAACAGAUAAUGACUAUUUCAUGGAAAGGAUCAUGAUUAGUAACUCUUCAACGUUUAGUCUUUAUACCAUUGUUAUUGUCUUAGUUGACAGACAAGGAAAGGAUGAUGCAGUGCAAGUGGAUGGUGAUGCAAAACACAC